CAGCCGCAAGCAGGUCCUUCAGGAGGGAUUCCAGAAGGAGGCAUUGCUAUCACAGAUGACAGCUCCACGUGUGUUAUUCCCUGAAGACCUUCCAGUGGGACAAGAUGUGGAGGUGGAAGACAGCGAUAUUGAUGAUCCUGAUCCUGGAUGAGUAAAUUGAGGCAGAGAGGAGAGGAGUAACUUGUAUAAACUGUAGAGCAGAUCCACCCUGCCCGGGGGAUGGAAGAUUGCCUUCUAGAAGAG